GUGUGUAAAUAAUAAAGAAGUUGCAUAUCCAUUGACAUGGAUAUGGAUCAGGUGAUGAAGGGGCAAAUAUUAGCCCAGAAACGUUUUGACUUGGCAGAUCAGCAGUCUGUUACACUUUCUAAUAUCAUACUAUUUUAACAUAAUUUGUGCUCAUAAUCUGUUUGAGACUUGGCAUUAUAAAGUUGAUGAAUAG